AACGAACGCUGGCGGCAGGCUUAACACAUGCAAGUCGAGCGCAUCCUUCGGGGUGAGCGGCGGACGGGUGAGUAACGCGUGGGAACGUGCCCUCUUCUACGGAAUAGCCUCGGGAAACUGAGAGUAAUGCCGUAUACGCCCGCAAGGGGAAAGAUUUAUCGGAGGAGGAUCGGCCCGCGUUGGAUUAGGUAGUUGGUGGGGUAACGGCCUACCAAGCCGACGAUCCAUAGCGGGUUUGAGAGGAUGAUCAGCCACACUGGGACUGAGACACGGCCCAGACUCCUACGGGAGGCAGCAGUGGGGAAUCUUGGACUAUGGGGGCAACCCUGAUCCAGCCAUGCCGCGUGAUCGAUGAAGGCCUUAGGGUUGUAAAGAUCUUUCAGCUGGGAAGAUAAUGACGGUACCAGCAGAAGAAGCCCCGGCUAACUCCGUG
rnacentral:rRNA from 1 species